UGGAGCAUGUGGUUUAAUUCGAAGCAACGCGAAGAACCUUACCAGGUCUUGACAUCCCCUGACAACCCGAGGGAUCGGGCGUUCCCCUUCGGGGGACAGGGUGACAGGUGGUGCAUGGUUGUCGUCAGCUCGUGUCGUGAGAUGUUGGGUUAAGUCCCGCAACGAGCGCAACCCUCGACCUUAGUUGCCAGCAUUCAGUUGGGCACUCUAAGGUGACUGCCGGCUAAAAGUCGGAGGAAGUGGGGAUGACGUCAAAUCAUCAUGCCCCUUAUGACCUGGGCUACACACGUGCUACAAUGGGCGGUACAAAGGGUCGCGAACCCGCGAGGGGGAGCCAAUCCCAAAAAGCCGCUCUCAGUUCGGAUUGCAGGCUGCAACUCGCCUGCAUGAAGCCGGAAUCGCUAGUAAUCGCGGAUCAGCAUGCCGCGGUGAAUACGUUCCCGGGCCUU
rnacentral:rRNA from 1 species